CCUACGGGUGGCAGCAGUGAGGAAUAUUGGUCAAUGGUCGGGAGACUGAACCAGCCAAGCCGCGUGAGGGAUGAAGGUACAGAGUAUCGUAAACCUCUUUUGUCAGGGAACAAAGGCGGGGACGUAUCUCCGGAUGAGUGUACCUGAAGAAAAAGCAUCGGCUAACACCGUGCCAGCAGCCGCGGUAAUACGGGGGAUGCGAGCGUUAUCCUGAUUUAUUGGGUUUAAAGGGUGCGCAGGCGGUCUGUUAAGUCAGCGGUAAAAGCCCGGGGCUCAACCCCGGCCCGCCGUUGAAACUGGCAGUCUCGAGUUGGAGAGAAGUAUGCGGAAUGCGCGGUGUAGCGGUGAAAUGCAUAGAUAUCGCGCAGAACUCCGAUUGCGAAGGCAGCAUGCCGGCUCCACACUGACGCGGAGGCACGAAAGCGUGGGUAUCGAACAGGAUUAGAUACCCGGGUAGUC
rnacentral:rRNA from 1 species